GGAAAAGGAGGAGGAGGACAGUUGCCAAUAUGCUGCUGUGGGAGAGCCAGCAAGGACAGAAGCAACAGGAAGCGUUGACGAUUACAGCUUGUUGGGGAGUCAGGACAACGCGAGCAACCAAAGCAUGAUGAAUAUGCUAAUGAAUAUUUCUGCAUCAACAAAGUGGAGAACCUGAACUCAAUUAAUGACCUGACAGAAGACAAAAGGAGGGACCAGGGGAGCAGAGAGGCGCACACUCACUUGCCACACAGCCUGCACAAUGCUCCGGGCGGGCUCCAGAUCGCCCUUUGUUUCACAGCCUGGUCCAGAUUGUUGGGUUUUUGUUUUAAGUUUUAGCUUGGAGAUCACCGGUCGUCCAGUUACUGGUUUUUGUUUUGGUUUAGUUUUCUUUAGGCAGAUUAGGGGGAGAGAGUGGCAUGGCUGGGUUAGCAGCCUCCACCCUUUUUGCUUGUUUCUUUAGUACUCAGAGUAUAUUUU